rnacentral:sRNA from 1 species
AUUAGAAGCGCAAGAUGGCGACUGCGGCCGCAACCUCGGCUUCAGAACCCGAGGCUGAGUCCAAGGCUGGGCCCAAGGCUGACGGAGAGGAGGAUGAAGUUAAGGCGGCUAGGACAAGGAGGAAGGUGUUAUCGCGGGCUGUGGCCGCUGCGACGUAUAAGACCAUGGGGCCAGGGUGGGAUCAGCAGGAGGAAGGCGUGAGCGAGAGCGAUGGGGAUGAGUACGCCAUGGCUUCCUCCGCGGAGAGCUCCCCCGGGGAGUACGAGUGGGAAUAUGACGAAGAGGAGGAGAAAAACCAGCUGGAGAUUGAGAGACUGGAGGAGCAGUUGUCUAUCAACGUCUAUGACUACAACUGCCAUGUGGACUUGAUCAGACUGCUCCGGCUGGAAGGGGAGCUUACCAAGAGCUCUGGCUGGAGUGGCUGCACGACGAGAUCAGCAUGGCCCAGGAUGGCCUGGACAGAGAGCACGUGUAUGACCUCUUUGAGAAAGCUGUGAAGGAUUACAUUUGUCCUAACAUUUGGCUAGAGUAUGGCCAGUACUCA